CCCUUGGAGUGCUUAUACAAACCAAAGUAGCUUCGGCAAAAUGGAGUACGUUGAACAGGGAA
rfam:Clostridium pasteurianum BC1, complete genome.